rnacentral:lncRNA from 1 species
UCCAUAUCUCACAUUCCUUAUGGCAGCCAUUAGCUGCUGUGAGCUGUGAUCAGUGCGUGCAGCCCUGCUGCGACUGGGGGAACUUAAUCCGCCUGGUUUGCAAAGCAGUGACAUUUCUGACUAUUACCUAAACAUUUUUCCUUAUCUCUAUUUCACCCAGAAAUGCAAAAUCCAGCUGUGGAUGGAACAUCCAGGAAAAGGGGUGGCUCUGUGUCCCUGUGUGCUCUGGGCUCUGCCAGCAGAAGGACCAGGGGAAUGACAUCAGUACCAGAUCCAUCCCCAGCAUCUCUGAAUUCCAACUUUGUACCUCAAAGUGCCUGAAACCCCCAAGUUUUAUAGCAGCAAAUUUACUACUGGGUAUAAGUGACCAGGUAUGUUUUGUUAUUGCUGGUGUCACUACUGCACCCUGCACAAUCCCUGUCUAAGGGCCUGAUUCUGACCUGUGUCCCCUGGCUGGGAUCAAGCUCCCUUCCCAGCCUUUUCCAGCUUCUCCUGAUGUACCCUGACUGCUGCCAGUCCAGGGGUCCCUUGCACAAGGAUCUCACCCCAAAAAUACCAUGUGAUAUCACUGCUGGGCUAAUUCAGCAAUUUUAAGUCAUGCUAAUUAUUUGUAAAUAAUCCUUUGAUGUUUUCUUUGUGGAUUUUUAGGUUUUUAGGGCCAAAUCCUGCGUUUUUGGCUUCUCCCAGAAGCCUGGGCACAAAGCAUCUGACUGCAGCUGGGAAUUCAUCACCUCUCUCCCUGGACAUGCAAAUUUUACUGGAACUCCUUCAGCUAAGUCCUGUGUGCCCCCGUGCCUUAGCAGGGAGUGGUGACAGCUCAUCGUGCAGGCUGGAAUUCCAGGGAAUCCUGCAGCCCCCUGGGAAGCUGCUGCCCAGGAAGGGGCUGGGGAUGCUGACUGCUUGUGACAAGUCUUGCCUGGGAGAAAACCAACACGGCAGCGGUUGGAAACCUGAAUGAUGUCACUAUGGCAACAAAAUAACUCACCUUAAAAUAAAAUGUGCA